ensembl:lncRNA
AUAUAACAGGAAUCAGUCAUUCAAGACGAACCAACCAGUUAUAACUCACAUUACGGAGUUAAAAGAUGGAUAGAAAUACAGUAUAAAGUUUAAAGAUGGAAAGAAACACAGUAUAAAGGUAAAAGAUGGAUAGAAACACAGUAUAAAGUUUAAAGAUGGAAAGAAACACAGUAUAAAGGUAAAAGAUGGAUAGAAAUACAGUAUAAAGGUAAAAGAUGGAUAGAAAUACAGUAUAAAGUUUAAAGAUUGAUAGAAAUUCAGUAUAAAGGUAAAAGAUGGAUAGAAAUACUGUAUAAAGGUAAAAGAUGGAUAGAAAUACAGUCUAAAGUUUAAAGAUGGAAAGAAACACAGUAUAAAGUUUAAAGAUGGAUAGAAAUACAGUAUACUGCAGUGUUUAUUUCCAAGGCAGAGUGUAACAUGUCUGUUUAUGACAUGGUAAUGGAGGGGAGGAGUGCGCUUUCAAGGAAGGUCAAAUGCCAAUAAUACGGUAUACGUGGUCUGAAACAUUAACAUGUAUGUCUCAGUGUGAAUGACUGAUCAUCAAACCCAAUCAACAGCUUUGGUUUAUUGCUAUCUUAAACAAACACACGUCCUUUCAAAGCCUGUUUCCUGCCUGCCAGCUUAAACGAGACCCCCGCUAGCAGUAGCUACCCCAUGCUGAGGCUCCAAACCGGACCCCGGACUCUAGAAAACGAGCUGCAGCGCAACACAGAGAACAACAUAAUUAACUCUUAAUGAACCUCCUUCUUCCAUCACUAACACACACUUCCCAAAUUCAAUUUGGCCUAAUCCUGCCUUUAUGGUAAUGUAUAGCUCAUUAAAAUGUUAGUUACAGACUCAUUAAAAUGCACUCAGAGACAUAAUGAAUUCAUUACUAUGAUACUGCUGAAAAAGAAAGAGGAGCUAGACGAGAAGAAGGACACGGGAGAAGAAAGCAAAGGAAAGAGCGAGAAUGAGAGAGGAAGACAGGCUUCCCGAUGACUUAAUUUUGACUGGAAUCUGCAUAUAUUUGCAUAAUAAACCUGCAUGCUGUGCAGCUAAUUUUCAGCAUAGCUCUAUAAUGAAGGCCCUUGCAAUUAAGAUUCUUUUCUUCAAAAUAAAUGUAGGACCCGUUCAUAGCUCUUUGUAGCGUCUCACUUUGUGUGUACGCAUCUGUCUGGGUGUGUCAGUGAUGUCUCGUUUGGGUUACAUUCGAAUUAUUUUGCCUAAGUAUGGUAGCUGAUGAAUGCAGGUCAAAGACGACCCAACAAUAUAAACAUAAACGAUGUUGAAAACACCACCUGUGCGCAAAAGCAGCGUGUCCAGAAUGUGAAUUUUCAGCCAUUAAGUGUUUUUCAGCUAGUUCUUCAGCUUUGUAACCCUGCGCUGUGAAGGAAUCAGAGAAGGCAGCAGUAGCAAAGAGACUCCCAAAAAGCCAAGGUCUUCAAGAGACGAUGUUUCAGCCGCUGUAGUCUGAUUCUGCCUAAUGAACGUAGCUGGAGAGCUCUGAAAACUUGGAGACUGAGUAGAAUCAAAAGACUUCAUCUCAUCAUCCAACUCCGCUGCUAACACGCCUGCUUUUAUCCCGUACCUCGGAAUCAAACAAACGUCUGACUGCAUGCGAGAGACGAGACUCAAGACAGAAGCUGGGGAUGAUUGUGAGAUCAAAGACAUGAAUUGGCUGAUCAGGUUGGGAGAUUCAUAUUCCUCUGUAAAACAGGGAGAAAGGCAAACCUUUUGCAGCAUUAAAUAUGUUGCUGGCUGUGUAAGUUUUCUUAUAUUCGUUACUACGCCUUUGAUAUAGAUCUCUAAUUAGUUUGUCAAGAUGGUGAUCACAUGCCGGGGUUGUAAGAACCCUGAUGGAAAUGAACCCUUUGGCGGAAUCAAAGUUUUUUUUUCUUUUUCCAUUAGUAUCAAAGGGUAUUUAGCCACUGUUGGCUUUUAGACUGUCAGGGCAGAAUACUACCAGGAAGGCUUAACACAGCUCAGGAACUGGAGAUCUGACAAAAGGUUUCCUGUGAAAGGACUUUUGCCUGCUCAUCAAUACCAUCAAAUGGUGUAUCUCUAUCUCAUUAUCUCUUUUCAACUCGUCCAGUCUUGAGACAUCUGACAUCUUAAAAAAUUAGUUCCAUGGUGCACUUUCAUUUACAGCUUUUGGCAGAGACCCUUAGAGCAGCUUACAGGCUUAAGGGCCUUGCUCAAGGGCCCAGCACUGGCGAGUUGGUGGUACUGGGCGUCAAACUCACAACCUCCCGAUCAGGAGCCCACUGCCGUAACCACUGACCUACAACUGCCCUGUUUUCAAAGUCUCUGGCACCUAAAACUCAGUGUACAGUCUUCUAGCUUCCCUCAAGUACAAGAAGAAGAAGAAGAAAAAAUGAUGUACAUCUGCCAGGUCUUUAGAUAAACCUUCAGUGCUCAACAACAAUACACCUGCUACUAUAGUUCAGAAUCUGUUAGUCUGAUAAACACGGACUUGGAUAUUAUGGUCAUGGUUUGGUCAUGGUGGAGAUAGUGAAGGACUGGUACUGGUCCUGUACCCACUGGCUCAUUUCAGUUCAUUUCAGUGUGUGUGGGUCUAACAAUUGACCUUGUUACAAAGGAGUAAUACUGGACCUAGAUCAAUAACAAGUAAGCCAAAAGCAAGAAUGGAACACGAAAAAUCUGUCAAGCAGAAUUAAAAGAAAUCUUAAAGGAGGAACUAGAUUCAAACGAGUAAAGAGUACAAUUUGUUAAAGGAGAGUGAAGUCUCUCAAUUCCAAACCAACUCAAAACGCUGACCAGAGAAGGAUUAGCCCUGCCUCACUCAGGGUGAGCAUUGAGUCUUCUCAAGGUAAAUUAUGGUUCCUUUCAAGGUGAAUCUUGAUUCCUCACAUUGUAAGCUUUAGUUCCUCUCAAGGCGAGUGUUGAUUCCUCUCAAGGCAAGUGUUGAUUGCUCUCAAGGUGAGUCUUGAUUCCUCACAUUAUAAGCUUCAGCUCCUCUCAAGGCAAGUGUUGGUUCUUCUCACAAUGAGUCUUGAUUCCUAUUAAUAUGAGUCUUGAUUCUUUUCAAUGGUGUCUUGAUCCCUAUUAAGGCAAGUGUUUGUUUCUCUCAAGGUCAGUUUUGGCCUCGCUCAUGAUAAGUGUUCUCAAAGGUUACUUCCUCACCACUGUUGCCCUUGGCUUGAGCAUUAACAUCUCUAAACCUGCUUCGAGGUAAUCUGCAAUUUGUAAUCACUGUUAUAAUAAUAAAAUAUUAGUCUAUUCCAGCUCAGUACCUGUCCACGCAGUACGUACGUACACACACACACACACACACACACACACACACACACACACACACACACACACACACACACACAAAAGCACACAUUAAUUGCUCUCAUGCAGGGUGUUUUGGAGGGAUCCACUGAAGCAGAAGUGAUGUCUGAUGACAUAGGACCUGCUGGGUGUCACAAUGGCCAAAUACAGCUGGAGACAGUGUGAAGAUGCUUUCUCUCCUUCCCUCUGUGUUUUUUAAUCUCUCACACUGAUAAACUCAGCCAGCCUUCAUCACCAGUUUCAUGCUGUUUUGUAUAUUUUUCCCUUUUUUUUGUACGAACCACACAAAAGUAUCAUUUGUUUGUCACCUUACAUAUCGAAGGUUUUAUUCAUUUUUUCUGCAUGUGAAGAGGAUGUAAGUGAAAGCUAAGCAGAGUGAAUUCCUGUACGUAGCACUCUGCAGUGGGAAUCUGAUGCUGGACCCUUCCUGACGCAGGCUUCUAUUUUCUGCCCAUGAACUGUGACAUUGUGAGAACGACCUCGGGGAUGUACAGUAAGACAAGCCUCACCGCACAGCCCUGCCCAAGGGAAUACAGCCCUGUUC